GGCGAACGGGUGAGUAACACGUUGACCAACCUGUCCUAGGGUGAGGGACAACCCGGGGAAACCUGGGCUAAUACCGCAUGAUGUCGCGCUUCCGCAUGGUGGUGCGAUCAAAGAGGGCCUCUGCUUGCAUGCUCUCGCCCAAGGAGGGGGUCGCGACGUAUCAGCUUGUUGGUGGGGUAACGGCCCACCAAGGCUACGACGCGUAGCGGAUCUGAGAGGAUGAUCCGUCACAUUGGGACUGAGAUACGGCCCAGACUCCUACGGGAGGCAGCAGUGGGGAAUAUUGCGCAAUGGACGAAAGUCUGACGCAGCGACGCCGCGUGU
rnacentral:rRNA from 1 species